rnacentral:RNase_P_RNA from 1 species
GGAGUCGGCCGGACAGUCGCGUCGCGCCUUCGGGCGUAUCGAGGAAAGUCCGGGCUCCAUAGGGCAGGGUGCCAGGUAACCCCUGGGCAGCGUGAGCUGACGGCCAGUGCAACAGAGAGCAGACCGCCGAUGGCCC